GACGAGGGGUCCAAGCGUUGUUCGGAAUCAUUGGGCGUAAAGCGGGUGUAGGUGGAUUUGUAAGUCUGUCGUGAAAGCCCCGGGCUCAACCUGGGAAUUGCGAUGGAGACUGCAAGGCUUGAAUCUGGCAGAGGGGGGUAGAAUUCCACGUGUAGCAGUGAAAUGCGUAGAGAUGUGGAGGAACACCGAUGGCGAAGGCAGCCCCCUGGGUCAAGAUUGACGCUCAUGCACGAAAGCGUGGGGAGCAAACAGG
rnacentral:rRNA from 1 species